UAAAUUCUUCGUGUUUAUUUUUCAGUGCUGCAUAAAGAAACAGGCCUCGCAGAGUGUUAAGGGAUGAAGUUUCUCAAGUCAGACAGAGCUGGACUUGAAUUUCAGCACCAUCAUUAACCUUCUGUAUAUCCUUGUAGAAAUUAAGUCAUAUCUCUGAACUUUCUUUAUUCAAAUGAUCAUAUCUGUGGUGGAAUUUUCAAUUUUUUCUUCCUGAUGUUUUCUCACAUUCUUCUGGAACCCCUCUUUCCUGCAUGGACAUUCAUUCCAUGUGAUUAGUUCAGGUAGGGGCUGAAUUCACCUUGUCCUCUUCACAAGGUGGAGCAUGAACUCCUGGAUAACCUUUUUAUGUUCAGGGAUAAAAAAAGUAAUGACCCAGUGCAACCAGUCAGUUUGAGUAUGUUGAUGUCUAUAAGGAUUUCUGUAAAGGGAGACUCUAAAUGAAUUAGGAAUAAGGAUAAAAACAGAGAUGGAGAUAUGGGUGAGGUUAGAGAUUGAGAUGAGAGGUGUGAUAAAGGUAGAGAUAGCAGUGGAGUUAAGAGAGAAGGGUAGAGAUAACACCUUAAUAGCAUGACUUGAACCCUGGAUCAAGCUGACCACUGCCUUUAGAUCUUUUGGCUACAUGAACCAAGGAAUUCCUGUUAUAUAAACCAGGUUGACUUUGUUUCUUAUCUCUUAACACUGAAAGUGUCCUGAUACAAUAUUUAUUCCAUAGGGCUAAAGCAAAAAUCAAGUAAGACAAACAUAUAAAGUACUUGGUUCCAAAUUGAUGCUGUAAAAGUUAACUCAAAAUGGAUCAAGGAGCUAGAUAGCAAAUCAGAGACACGCCGUCUGAUAGAAGAAAAAGUUGGCUCCGAUCUACAUAUUGUGGGGUCGGGCUCCAAAUUCCUUAAUAGGACACCCAUAGCACAAGAGUUAAUAACUAGAAUCAACAAAUGGGACUUACUCAAACUAAAAAGUUUUUUCUCAGCAAAAGAAACAAUAAGAGAGGUAAAUAGGGAGCCUACAUCCUGGGAACAAAUUUUUACUCCUCACACUUCAGAUAAAGCCCUAAUAUCCAGAGUAUACAAAGAACUAAAAAAAUUAAGCAAUAAAGAAACAAAUAACCCAAUCAACAAAUGGGCCAAGGACCUGAACAGACACUUCUCAGAGGAGGAUAUACAAUCAAUCAACAGGUACAUGAAAAAAUGCUCACCAUCUCUAGCAGUCAGAGAGAUGCAAAUCAAAACCACCCUAAGAUACCAUCUCACUCCAGUAAGAUUGGCAGCCAUUAGGAAGUCAAACAACAACAAGUGCUGGCGAGGAUGUGGGGAAAAGGGUACACUUGUACAUUGCUGGUGGGACUGCAAAUUGGUGCGGCCAAUUUGGAAAGCAGUAUGGAGAUUCCUGGGAAAGCUGGGAAUGGAACCACCAUUUGACCCAGCUAUUGCCCUUCUCGGACUAUUCCCUGAAGACCUUAAAAGAGC
rnacentral:lncRNA from 1 species